ACCGGAGCUAAUACCGGAUAAUAUUUGAACCGCAUGGUUCAAAAGUGAAAGACGGCCUUGCUGUCACUUAUAGAUGGAUCCGCGCUGCAUUAGCUAGUUGGUAAGGUAACGGCUUACCAAGGCAACGAUGCAUAGCCGACCUGAGAGGGUGAUCGGCCACACUGGAACUGAGACACGGUCCAG
rnacentral:rRNA from 1 species